rnacentral:rRNA from 1 species
UACGUAGGGUGCGAGCGUUAAUCGGAAUUACUGGGCGUAAAGCGAGCGCAGGCGGCCCGUUAAGACAGGUGUGAAAUCCCUGGGCUCAACCUAGGAAUUGCGCUUGUGACUGGCGGGCUCGAGUACGGUAGAGGGGGGUGGAAUUCCUGGUGUAGCAGUGAAAUGCGUAGAGAUCAGGAGGAACACCGAUGGCGAAGGCAGCCCCCUGGGCCUGUACUGACGCUCAUGCACGAAAGCGUGGGGAGCAAACAGG